GACGAACGCUGGCGGCGUGCUUAACACAUGCAAGUCGAACGGAAAGGCCCUGCUUUUGUGGGGUGCUCGAGUGGCGAACGUGUGAGUAACACGUGUGUAACCUGCCCUUGACUUUGGUAUAACUUCAGGAAACUGGGGCUAAUACCGGAUAGGAGCUCCUGCUGCAUGGUGGGGGUUGGAAAGUUUCGGCGGUUGGGGAUGGACUCGCGGCUUAUCAGCGUGUUGGUGGGGUAGUGGCUUACCAAGGCUUUGACGGGUAGCCGGCCUGAGAGGGUGACCGGCAACAUUGGGACUGGGAUACGGCCCAGACUCCUACGGGGGGAAGCAGUGGGGAAUAUUGAAAAAUGGGCGGAAGCCUGAUGCAGCAACGCCGCGUGCGGGAUGACGGCCUUCGGGUUGUAAACCGCUUUCGCCUGUGACGAAGCGUGAGUGACGGUAAUGGGUAAAGAAGCACCGGCUAACUACGUG
rnacentral:rRNA from 1 species